AUGGCUUUCAAAUACACAAUGAGAGAUGAUGGUCUCUAUCACCGAUCGGUUGACGAUAUUCUUUUAAAGUGCUUGGACGAGGACCAAGCGAGAGUUGCUAUGGGAGAGGUCCAUGAAGGUAUUUGUGGCACUCAUCAGUCGGCUCCCAAGAUGAAAUGGUUACUACGACGUGCUGGGUUUUAUUGGACGACAAUGGUUAGUGAUUCCUUCCGGUACUAUGAAGGAUGUGAAGCUUGUCAAAAGUUUGGUGAUAUUCAGUUAGCUCCCGCUGCUAUGUUACAUCCUAUUAUCAAGCCGUGGCCUUUUAGAGGUUGGGGAUUAGACUUUAUUGGAGAGAUUCAUCCUUCUUCUUCAAAGGGGCAUCGGUUUGUGUUGGUGGGAACUGAUUAUUUCACUAAAUGGUCUGAAGCAAUACCACUCAAAAAUAUGACGCAUACAUAG
rnacentral:rRNA from 1 species